rnacentral:rRNA from 1 species
GUGUCAGCCGCCGCGGUAAUACGGAGGGUGCAAGCGUUAAUCGGAAUUACUGGGCGUAAAGCGCACGCAGGCGGUUUGUUAAGUCAGAUGUGAAAUCCCCGGGCUCAACCUGGGAACUGCAUCUGAUACUGGCAAGCUUGAGUCUCGUAGAGGGGGGUAGGAUUCCAGGUGUAGCGGUGAAAUGCGUAGAGAUCUGGAGGAAUACCGGUGGCGAAGGCGGCCCCCUGGACGAAGACUGACGCUCAGGUCCGAAAGCGUGGGGAGCAAACAGGAUUAGAAACCCGCGUAGUCC